CAUGUGCGUAUCAGUACAGUGUGUAGUAUAGUAUUCUACAGUAUACAACACAAUUCUACAGUAAGCACUACGCGAUCGAGGGAUACGACAGUGUGUAGUAUAAUAUUCUACAGAAUACCACAAAAUGAUAUUUAUAAGCACUACAUGAUCGAGGGAUGCUACAGUGUAUAGUAUAGUAUUUUACAGUAUACUACAGUUUACUACAGGUGUAGAAAAGGCCCAUGGAGUUGGUGGAAUACUCCUUUAAUUCAUUGCCAUUUACUCAGCUGGGCCAGGGGCGCUUUAAUUAGGUCAGGUGGAAAUGUCCGACAGAUCUCAACUCCAUAAAAGGAGGAAAUUGCCAUCGCCUGAUCUCGCUGCUUUCUCUUCCUUAACUCCAUCUCACCCAGAAGUUCUGUGCGUCCAUGAAUCCACCACAGACUACCCAGUAAAUAUACCACUUUAUGGUUAAAGGAAUUCCUGCCUCAGUCUCAUACAUUCCUCUGUCACCUGACACGUGACCACCUGUUCACCUUCACUGUCAGUCAUCCUACCUGUCCAGCUACCCACACAGAUUCCACUAAUCUUUCAACAGGACACUAGAAUUCUAUAAACCUCUUCACUCUGAACAAGCUACAAUUUGGGAAAUGAAACAAUCACUAAAUGUCUUCCUGCAGCAGCUGGAUGCAGAGUGGAACCGUUAUGUAGAGCGUGGUGUUGUAAAGACAGAUGCAGAGAAGAAAGAGAAAGCGAGACAUCCCACAUGCAAUUUGUUUCUGGUUCAUAUACAAUGAACUAAGCAGAAUAGACUCAGCUGCUAAUGCAUUGGUGCCUAUGGGAGAGCCACCCCCAUAAGCAGACCAAAACUGACUUUUUUCCAUGGUAAACGACCUGGAUGGGACAUCUUCAUUUAACCAACAUCUUUGACAGAUGUAUACAAUGACUUGUUGCUCAUCCUUUCAAACUCCAGAGACUCCUAUACUGUACUUCUUUAGUGUCAAAUGUGGCACUACAGUGUCUUGAAUUUAUUUUUCAGAUAUUUUAAAAUUAAAAUCUCAUGUUUCAAAUAAUUAGUAUCUAAAGAAAUUUGAGUUCAAUUGUACGGGGAA